rnacentral:sRNA from 1 species
GAUAAACUGACCUUACAAUCGAGUUACAGUGCACUGAAUAUUUAUAUAUUAAAAUCUUUAUUAUUCAACAACAUUGUAUCUGAGAUUAAACUACUGUUCUACUAAUAAAUAAAUAAAUAAAUAAAUUAUAACAAAUCUUAUAAACUAUGAAUAAUGAAAAUUUACUGAAAAAUAGGUAUUUUUUUUUUUUGAUUCAAAUUUUACGUUGUUAAUUUUUAUUUUUAUUGAUUUAUUAUAAUUGAUUGUUUGAUCACAUGCCAUGUGCUCGCCCCAACGGUCGCACCGUAAAACAUAUUAUUUCUAUCGAUAUAUUUUGGCAUAUUUACCUUAUAUUUUAUAGAAGUGGAGAAAACAUUAACUCAAAUUUUUGCCUAAUUUAGCUCAUUUCAUGUCAUAUCUCAAUUUUUUGAGAUCUGACCCCGACUUUUUUAACUCUAGUAUGAGAAAUUAAAUGUAUGUCUAUUUGUAUGCAAAGUUUUGGGAAAAUGACAUUACUUUCAUUUUAUUAUUUGCGUUAUAAUUUGAUUACUCCAAAAGUUUGUAACAAUCUUUACAUUUGCUGUUGUAUUCAUUAUCAUAUUGUACUGGCAUUUGAAGCCAUCAGUAACGCAAGGUUUUUUAAACUUUGACUUGAAUAUUACUUUUAUAGUCACCACAUGUGAUCAACUUCAAACUGUAUUGAAAUCAUAACUAAAUAAUAGUUC